GUAGGUGGCAAGCGUUGUCCGGAAUUAUUGGGCGUAAAGCGCGCGCAGGGCGGUCCUUUAAGUCUGAUGUGAAAUCCCACGGCUCAACCGUGGAAGGUCAUUGGAAACUGGGGGACUUGAGUACAGAAGAGGAAAGCGGAAUUCCAAGUGUAGCGGUGAAAUGCGUAGAGAUUUGGAGGAACACCAGUGGCGAAGGCGGCUUUCUGGUCUGUAACUGACGCUGAGGCGCGAAAGCGUGGGGAGCAAACAGGAUUAGAUACCCUGGUAGUCCACGCCGUAAACGAUGAGUGCUAAGUGUUAGGGGGUUUCCGCCCCUUAGUGCUGCAGCUAACGCAUUAAGCACUCCGCCUGGGGAGUACGGUCGCAAGACUG
rnacentral:rRNA from 1 species